GAUCAUUAAAGAAAUUUAAUAAUUUUGAAAAUGGAUUUUUUUGUUUUGGCAAGAGCAUGAGAGCUUUUACUGGGCAAGAAGACAAGAGAUGGAGAGUCCAGCCGGGCCUGCGCUUAAGUGCGCGGUCUUGCUAGGCUUGUAAGUUUCUUUCUUGCUAUUCCAAACGGUGAGAGAUUUCUGUGCUUUUGUUAUAGGACAAUUAAAACCGUUUCAAUACAACACACUGUGGAGUUUUCAUAUCUUUGCAACUUUUUCUUUGGGCAUUCGAGCAAUCGGGGCCCAGAGGUAACAAACACAAACAAUUUUAUCUAUUCAUUAAAUUUUUGUCAAAAACAAGAAUUUUCGUAACUGGAAAUUUUAAAAUAUUAAAAACUUUCAACAACGGAUCUCUUGGUUCUCGCAUCGAUGAAGAACGCAGCGAAAUGCGAUACGUAAUGUGAAUUGCAGAAUUCCGUGAAUCAUCGAAUCUUUGAACGCACAUUGCGCCCCUUGGUAUUCCAGGGGGCAUGCCUGUUUGAGCGUCAUUUCCUUCUCAAACAUUCUGUUUGGUAGUGAGUGAUACUCUUUGGAGUUAACUUGAAAUUGCUGGCCUUUUCAUUGGAUGUUUUUUUUUCCAAAGAGAGGUUUCUCUGCGUGCUUGAGGUAUAAUGCAAGUACGGUCGUUUUAGGUUUUACCAACUGCGGCUAAUCUUUUUUUAUACUGAGCGUAUUGGAACGUUAUCGAUAAGAAGAGAGCGUCUAGGCGAACAAUGUUACUUAAAGUUUGACCUCAAAUCAGG
rnacentral:misc_RNA from 1 species